CAGAGACCUCAAGCGUUAUCCGGAAUCAUUGGGCGUAAAGCGUACCGAUAGGUGGUCAAGAAAGUCAGAGGUGAAAUCUCAAGGCUCAACUUUGAGACUGUCCUUUGAAACUUCUCGACUAGAGGGGCAAAGAGGAAGCUAGAACGAACGGUGUAGUAGUGAAAUGCGUUGAUAUCGUUCGGAAUACCGAUAGCGAAGGCAGGCUUCUGGGUGCCACCUGACACUGCUAGGACGAAAGCGUGGGGAGCGAAUGGGAUUAGAUACCCCAGUAGUCCACGCUGUAAACGAUGCACGUUAGGUGCUAGAGAGUAUCGACCCUCUUUAGUACCACAGCUAACGCGUUAAACGUGCCGCCUGGGGAGUACGGCCGCAAGGCUA
rnacentral:rRNA from 1 species